rnacentral:misc_RNA from 1 species
UCCAGUUUGUCACUGGCAGUAUCCUUAGAGUUCCCACCCGAAGUGCUGGCAAAUAAGGAAAAGGGUUGCGCUCGUUGCGGGACUUAACCCAACAUCUCACGACACGAGCUGACGACAGCCAUGCAGCACCUGUGUUCUGAUUCCCGAAGGCACUCUCGUAUCUCUACAAGAUUCCAGACAUGUCAAGGCUAGGUAAGGUUCUUCGCGUUGCAUCGAAUUAAACCACAUGCUCCACCGCUUGUGCGGGCCCCCGUCAAUUCAUUUGAGUUUUAGUCUUGCGACCGUACUCCCCAGGCGGUCAACUUAUCGCGUUAGCUGCGCCACUAAGCCCUCAAGGGGCCCAACGGCUAGUUGACAUCGUUUACGGCAUGGACUAC